AACCAAUCCCUCCACUUCUAAAGAACCCUCACACAAUACUGAGUAAUUCUAUAGUCCUAUAGAAAAUUUUAUGUUAAAACUAGUAACAAGAAGAAGAACUUCUCCUAUAUGCAAGUGUAAAUCAGACAGGACAUCCCACUGACAAUUAGCACCAAUGAAUGUAAAGCAGCAACCUAACAAGAAAACCCUUCUACACCAUGUGUUAACCUAACACCAGAGCAUUACAAGAAAGAUUUAAAGAAAGAGAAGGAACUCGGCAAAUAAUAACCCCGCCUGUUUACCAAAAACAUCGCCUCUUGAAAAACAUAAGAGGUCCAGCCUGCCCAGUGACCCUGUUCAACGGCCGCGGUAUCCUAACCGUGCGAAGGUAGCGUAAUCACUUGUUCUUUAAAUGAGGACUAGUAUGAACGGCCCCACGAAGGUUAUACUGUCUCCUCUUUCUAAUCAGUGAAACUAAUCUCCCCGUGAAGAAGCGGGGAUGAAUAUAUAAGACGAGAAGACCCUAUGGAGCUUUAAACCACACAACACCUGCUUUCAACUUAACUACUUCCAGAAAAACCCCCUUUAUCCCCGCAGAAUGAUUGUCAGUUUUAGGUUGGGGUGACCGCGGAGCACAAAAUAACCUCCACAUUGAAAGGAACCCACUCCUUAGCUAAGAGCCACGCCUCCACGCAUCAAUAAAAUGACAUUAAUUGACCCAAUGUAUUGAUCAACGAACCAAGUUACCCUAGGGAUAACAGCGCAAUCCACUUUAAGAGCCCCUAUCGACAAGUGGGUUUACGACCUCGAUGUUGGAUCAGGGUGUCCCGGUGGUGCAGCCGCUACCAAAGGU
rnacentral:rRNA from 1 species